UCGUGACUGCGUGCCUUUUGAAGAAUGAGCCUGCGAGUUAGCGGUGUGUAGCGAGGUUAACCCGUGUGGGGAAGCCGUAGCGAAAGCGAGUCCGAACAGGGCGAUUGAGUUGCACGCUCUAGACCCGAAGCGGAGUGAUCUAGCCAUGGGCAGGUUGAAGCGGAGGUAAGACUUCGUGGAGGACCGAACCCACCAGGGUUGAAAACCUGGGGGAUGACCUGUGGUUAGGGGUGAAAGGCCAAUCAAACUCCGUGAUAGCUGGUUCUCCCCGAAAUGCAUUUAGGUGCAGCGUCGUGUGUUUCUUGCCGGAGGUAGAGCACUGGAUAGGCGAUGGGCCCUACCGGGUUACUGACCUUAGCCAAACUCCGAAUGCCGGUAAGUGAGAGCACGGCAGUGAGACUGUGGGGGAUAAGCUCCAUGGUCGAGAGGGAAACAGCCCAGAGCAUCGACUAAGGCCCCUAAGCGUACGCUAAGUGGGAAAGGAUGUGGAGUCGCAGAGACAACCAGGAGGUUGGCUUAGAAGCAGCCACCCUUGAAAGAGUGCGUAAUAGCUCACUGGUCAAGUGAUUCCGCGCCGACAAUGUAGCGGGGCUCAAGCGUACCGCCGAAGUCGUGUCAUUGCAGCAAUAGGGCCAACGCCCGCUGUGAUGGGUAGGGGAGCGUCGUGUGCCGGGUGAAGCAGCAGCGGAAGCUAGUUGUGGACGGUUCACGAGUGAGAAUGCAGGCAUGAGUAGCGAUACACACGUGAGAAACGUGUGCGCCGAUUGACUAAGGGUUCCUGGGUCAAGCUGAUCUGCCCAGGGUAAGUCGGGACCUAAGGCGAGGCCGACAGGCGUAGUCGAUGGACAACCGGUUGAUAUUCCGGUACCCGCUUUGAAACGCCCAAUAUCGAAUCAGGCGAUGCUAAGUCCGUGAAGCCGUCCUGGAUCCUUCGGGUGAAGGGAAGUGGUGGAGCCGACGAACCAGACUUGUAGUAGGUAAGCGAUGGGGUGACGCAGGAAGGUAGUCCAGCCCGGGCGGUGGUUGUCCCGGGGUAAGGGUGUAGGCCGAGGGGUAGGCAAAUCCGUCCCUCAUACAAGGCUGAGACCUGAUGCCGAGCCGAUUGUGGUGAAGUGGAUGAUCCUAUGCUGUCGAGAAAAGCCUCUAGCGAGUUUCAUGGCGGCCCGUACCCUAAACCGACUCAGGUGGUCAGGUAGAGAAUACCGAGGCGUUCGGGUGAACUAUGGUUAAGGAACUCGGCAAAAUGCCCCCGUAACUUCGGGAGAAGGGGGGCCAUUCCUGGUGAUCGGAUUUACUCCGUGAGCUGGGGGUGGCCGCAGAGACCAGCGAGAAGCGACUGUUUACUAAAAACACAGGUCCGUGCGAAGCCGUAAGGCGAUGUAUACGGACUGACGCCUGCCCGGUGCUGGAACGUUAAGGGGACCGGUUAGUGACCUUUCGGGGUUGCGAAGCUGAGAACUUAAGCGCCAGUAAACGGCGGUGGUAACUAUAACCAUCCUAAGGUAGCGAAAUUCCUUGUCGGGUAAGUUCCGACCUGCACGAAUGGCGUAACGACUUCUCGACUGUCUCAACCAUAGGCCCGGUGAAAUUGCACUACGAGUAAAGAUGCUCGUUUCGCGCAGCAGGACGGAAAGACCCCGGGACCUUUACUACAGUUUGAUAUUGGUGUUCGGUUCGGCUUGUGUAGGAUAGGUGGGAGACUUUGAAGCCCCAACGCCAGUUGGGGUGGAGUCGACGUUGAAAUACCACUCUGGUCGUGCUGGAUGUCUAACCUCGGUCCGUGAUCCGGAUCAGGGACAGUGUCUGAUGGGUAGUUUAACUGGGGCGGUUGCCUCCCAAAGGGUAACGGAGGCGCCCAAAGGUUCCCUCAGCCUGGUUGGCAAUCAGGUGUUGAGUGUAAGUGCACAAGGGAGCUUGACUGUGAGACCGACGGGUCGAGCAGGGACGAAAGUCGGGACUAGUGAUCCGGCGGUGGCUUGUGGAAGCGCCGUCGCUCAACGGAUAAAAGGUACCCCGGGGAUAACAGGCUGAUCUUCCCCAAGAGUCCAUAUCGACGGGAUGGUUUGGCACCUCGAUGUCGGCUCGUCGCAUCCUGGGGCUGGAGUCGGUCCCAAGGGUUGGGCUGUUCGCCCAUUAAAGCGGUACGCGAGCUGGGUUUAGAACGUCGUGAGACAGUUCGGUCCCUAUCCGCUGUGCGCGUAGGAAUAUUGAGAAGGGCUGUCCCUAGUACGAGAGGACCGGGACGGACGAACCUCUGGUGUGCCAGUUGUCCUGCCAAGGGCAUGGCUGGUUGGCUACGUUCGGGAGGGAUAACCGCUGAAAGCAUCUAAGCGGGAAGCCUGCUUCAAGAUGAGUAUUCCCACCUCCUUGAGAGGGUAAGGCUCCCAGUAGACGACUGGGUUGAUAGGCCAGAUGUGGAAGCCCGGUAACGGGUGGAGCUGACUGGUACUAAUAGGCCGAGGGCUUGUCCUC
rnacentral:rRNA from 1 species